GCUUGCUGUGCACUUUGGCCGGUGGGAAGCUCGGCUUGUUGUACUUGGGGUGAUCAUGGUGGAAAUGCGGGAUAUGUUUCAUGUGAGGCAACGUCUUCUUGGGCAUCGGAUGGUACUUGAUCGUGGGGUGCUCGUGGUGAGGCAUCGGGGACGGCUUGUAGACCGGCGCAGCAGGUGGGUUAUAGUAUCCCCCUGACGGCGGCUUGUGCAUCGGCGCAGGUGGUUGGUAGUAUCCCCCUGACGGCGGACUGUGCACCGGCGCAGGUGGUUGGUAGUAUCCCCCCGACGGUGCCUUGUGCACCGGCGCAGGUGGGUUGUAGGUAGGGGGGCUGUAAACUGGGUGUGGGUGGUAGUGAGACUUGGGUGGGAAUUUGUAGUGUGGCAUAUGUAACUUGGGGUGCUUCUUUUUCCAUGCCAGCGGAGGGCAGGGGUAGAAGGUGGCCGACGCGCAGGUGGCCGACGAGAACGACAGCUUCCCGGACGCCGCAACGAACGUGUGCUUUCCCUCGUCCUUGGACUUGAGGAUCAGCUUGGAAGGGUUGAGGGCGUUGUUCUUGUCAGGGCAAGGUGCGUUGGAGGUGUUGUGGAGCUGCGCGAAGCACUCGUGCUUCAGGUCGCCGUUCUCGAGGAGAAGCUCGCUCGGGAGCUUCACCUCGAAGUUUCCGUUGCUGUCGAGCUCGCCCGUGGCUUUGGUCUCGUACUGCUCGUCGCUCACCUUGCACUUGACGGCUACACGUAGUCCUGCUUGGUCAAAACCACCAUGGAAGAACAUAUCAGAUGCAUGCCUUACUCGAGCAACUAAGCAGCAAUUGUGCUAAGCAUCAAGAGUACUACAAGUGAAGAACAAGAGUCGAUCGACCUUUGACAGCGUUCUCAGUCUUGAUACUCUUCUGCGCACAGUCCAAGCAUUCGGUAGCACCGACGACGGAGACCAGCGUCUCAGUCUGCGUUGCAGCGCUUGCGAAUCCGACGGCCACAAAGACUGAACACAAACCGAACAAAACGGUUUUGAGGUGCGGCGGAGUUCCCAUGAUGGAACUCGACCUCAGCAG
rnacentral:lncRNA from 1 species